UGGUUAGCCAUUCAAACGAACAUCUAUCAUUGAAACGACUUUUUGAAAACACUUUGUGAAUAUUUUGGUGCUCAUAGCAGAAACUAUCAACACCUACAGAAUUUCACCAGCUGCUUAUGGGGUACUUUUGAGAAUAAUACAGUCAAUUUCAUUGGUCGAGGGCUGGUCACAUGGAGGGAGACAAUUCGUGAUGUCUUCCUCACGCGCAGGGUGACAACUGUGUUGUCUCCCUCUAGAAGAUAACUUUUAAAGUGAGCAACAUAACCAUAGGAAAAUAUGCGGGAUCGCUCUUAAUAUCAGUCAUGUAGACGCGGGUGUGGUUGGGAGCAAAGGCCUGUUGGACAUCGCUGUGCCAGGAACCCUUUGUUUUGGAGUACCUACACAGGUACUACUCAAGACCUAAUGUUAUUAAAUUUCAUGAAAUUAUGUCAACCAGUAAAAUUAAAACACUUAAACUCUGUAUGUUUAUCUCAAAAAUCUAUCAGUUGGUCUGUCCUCCUUAACAUAUUUUGUAAAUAUUUUCACUACAUGUAUAUUGUAUAUUUGUUCAUACUAUGACCUCAUUCUUACUCAAAUGUAUGUUUAUUUAAUGAACCUUAUGUACCAUGUAUAAUGUGGUUUGAGUGAAUAAAUGAACUUGAACUUAGACCUAUUCUAAACACAGUUGUGAGAGGGAUCCAGAGAUUUAAACCAGUGAUAACAGUGACUGUCAUUUAUAUA